AACGAACGCUGGCGGCAUGCCUAACACAUGCAAGUCGAACGAGACCUUCGGGCCUAGUGGCGCACGGGUGCGUAACGCGUGGGAAUCUACCCUUGGGUUCGGCAUACCAGUUAGAAAUGACUGCUAAUACCGGAUGAUGACGUAAGUCCAAAGAUUUAUCGCCCAAGGAUGAGCCCGCGUAAGAUUAGCUUGUGGGUGGGGUAAUGGCCUACCAAGGCGACGAUCUUUAGCUGGUCUGAGAGGAUGAUCAGCCACACUGGGACUGAGACACGGCCCAGACUCCUACGGGAGGCAGCAGUGGGGAAUAUUGGACAAUGGGCGAAAGCCUGAUCCAGCAAUGCCGCGUGAGUGAUGAAGGCCUUAGGGUUGUAAAGCUCUUUUACCAGGGAUGAUAAUGACAGUACCUGGAGAAUAAGCUCCGGCUAACUCCGUGCCAGCCGCCGCCGUAA
rnacentral:rRNA from 1 species